rnacentral:lncRNA from 1 species
GGGGUGGGGUAUUAAAUGUUAUGGAAGUUCAUCAUUUGAAAUUUUUCAUGUUGCAUUCUCUUUAAUCAAGAUGUAGAUAAAGAAAACUUCUAAGAUCAAAUCACAAGGAAGCAAAAGCCACAACCACAAUAGACUUGUAUACUUAACCAGCUCAAAUGCGUAGAAUGCGCCAUUUACUAACAUACAGAAAGGUUACCCCCCCCCCC